UACGAGGGGGGGCGAGCGUUGUUCGGAAUUAUUGGGCGUAAAGGGUGCGUAGGCGGCCUGACAAGUCUGAUGUGAAAUCCCUGGGCUCAACCCAGGGCCUGCAUCGGAAACUGUCGGGCUUGAGUAUGGGAGAGGUGAGUGGAAUUUCCGGUGUAGCGGUGAAAUGCGUAGAUAUCGGAAGGAACACCUGUGGCGAAAGCGACUCACUGGACCAUUACUGACGCUGAGGCACGAAAGCUAGGGGAGCAAACAGG
rnacentral:rRNA from 1 species